rnacentral:rRNA from 1 species
GACGAACGCUGGCGGCGUGCUUAACACAUGCAAGUCGAACGAAGUGGCGAACGGGUGAGUAACGCGUAAUCAUCCUGCCCUUCAGAGGGGGACAACAGUUGGAAACGACUGCUAAUACCGCAUACUGAAGGUGGGGAUUGCGUCGGAUGAGGUAGUUGGAGGGGUAACGGCCGACCAAGGCGAUGAUCAGUAGCCGGUCUUAGAGGAUGAACGGCCACAUGUGGACUGAGACACGGCCCAGACUCCUACGGGAGGCAGCAGUGGGGAAGCUUCCGCAAUGGACGAAAGUCUGACGGAGCAACGCCGCGUGAGUGAUGACGGCCUUCGGGUUGUAAAGCUCUGUUAAUCGGGACGCGGUACCGGAAUAGAAAGCCACGGCUAACUACGUGCCAGCAGCCGCGGUAAUUC